UGCAAGUAGAACGCUGAAGAGAGGAGCUUGCUCUUCUUGGAUGAGUUGCGAACGGGUGAGUAACGCGUAGGUAACCUGCCUUGUAGCGGGGGAUAACUAUUGGAAACGAUAGCUAAUACCGCAUAACAAUGGAUGACACAUGUCAUUUAUUUGAAAGGGGCAAUUGUUCCACUACAAGAUGGACCUGCGUUGUAUUAGCUAGUAGGUGAGGUAAUGGCUCACCUAGGCGACGAUACAUAGCCGACCUGAGAGGGUGAUCGGCCACACUGGGACUGAGACACGGCCCAGACUCCUACGGGAGGCAGCAGUAGGGAAUCUUCGGCAAUGGGGGCAACCCUGACCGAGCAACGCCGCGUGAGUGAAGAAGGUUUUCGGAUCGUAAAGCUCUGUUGUAAGUCAAGAACGGGUGUGAGAGUGGAAAGUUCACACUGUGACGGUAGCUUACCAGAAAGGGACGGCUAACUACGUGCCAGCAGCCGCGGUAAUACGUAGGUCCCGAGCGUUGUCCGGAUUUAUUGGGCGUAAAGCGAGCGCAGGCGGUUUGAUAAGUCUGAAGUUAAAGGCUGUGGCUCAACCAUAGUUCGCUUUGGAAACUGUCAAACUUGAGUGCAGAAGGGGAGAGUGGAAUUC
rnacentral:rRNA from 1 species